rnacentral:rRNA from 1 species
GUAGAACCAACAGGAUUGCCUCAGUAACGGCGAGUGAAGCGGCAAGAGCUCAACUUUGGAAUCGCUCCGGCGAGUUGUAGUCUGGAGGUGGCCACCACGAGGUGUUCUAGCAGCAGGCAAGUCCUUUGGAACAAGGCGCCAGCGAGGGUGACAGCCCCGUACCUGCUUUUGCUAGUGCUUCCUGUGGCCCACCGACGAGUCGAGUUGUUUGGGAAUGCAGCUCUAAGUGGGUGGUAAAUUCCAUCUAAGGCUAAAUAUUGGCGAGAGACCGAUAGCGAACAAGUACAGUGAUGGAAAGAUGAAAAGCACUUUGAAAAGAGAGUGAAACAGUACGUGAAAUUGUUGAAAGGGAAGGGCUUGCACCCAGACACGGUUUCGGCCGGGCCAGCAUCAAGUAGAACGGGGUUAAAAGACCUGGGGAAUGUAGCUACCUCUUGGUAGUGUUAUAGCCCUUGGGUGAUGACCCCUGUUUUGCUUGAGGACAGCGGUCUCUAGGAUGCUGGCGCAAUGGUUGCAAGCCACCCGUCUUGAAACACGGACCAAGGAGUCUAACGUCUAUGCGAGUGUACGGGUGAAAAACCCCUGCGCGGAAUGAAAGUAAGAGGUUGGAACCCUCUCGGGGGUGCACAAUCGACCGACCCAGAAGUGCUCGGACGGGUUUGAGUAGGAGCAUAGCUGUUGGGACCCGAAAGAUGGUGAACUAUACCUGAAUAGGGUGAAGCCAGAGGAAACUCUGGUGGAGGCUCGUAGCGGUUCUGACGUGCAAAUCGAUCGUCGAAUUUGGGUAUAGGGGCGAAAGACUAAUCGAACCAUCUAGUAGCUGGUUCCUGCCGAG